rnacentral:rRNA from 1 species
GGCUUGACAUGGUAGAAGUAGAAUCCUGAAAGGGUGACGAUCGGUAUCCAGUCCGAAGCUAUCACAGGUGUUGCAUGGCUGUCGUCAGCUCGUGUCGUGAGACGUUGGGUUAAGUCCCCUAACGAGCGAAACCCUUGUCUUUAGUUGCUAACGGGUAAUGCUGAGCACUUUAGAGAGACUGCCGUCGUUAAGACGGAGGAAGGUGGGGACGACGUCAAGUCAUCAUGGCCCUUAUGUCCCGGGCUGCACACGUGCUACAAUGGUCGGUACAAAGGGAUGCUAAGUCGCGAGAUGGUGCGAAACCUAUAAAGCCGAUCUCAGUUCAGAUUGGAGGCUGAAACUCGCCUCCAUGAAGUUGGAAUCGCUAGUAAUCGCGGAUCAGCUACGCCGCGGUGAAUAUGUUCCCGAGCCUUGUACACACCGCCCGUCAAGCCACCCAAGCAAGAUGCACCCAAAAUCGCCUGCCUAACCCGUAAGGGAGGGAAGUGCCUAAGGUGUGUUUUGUGAGGAGGACUAAGUCGUAACAAGGUAGUCGUAGGAGAACCUGCGGCUGGAUCACCUCCUUU